AAUGGGCGCAAGCCUGAUCCAGCCAUGCCGCGUGAGUGAUGAAGGCCUUAGGGUUGUAAAGCUCUUUUGCCGGGGAAGAUACUGACGGUACCCGGAGAAUAAGCACCGGCUAACUUCGUGCCAGCAGCCGCGGUAAUACGAAGGGUGCUAGCGUUGUUCGGAAUCACUGGGCGUAAAGCGCGCGCAGGCGGUCAUUCAAGUCAGGGGUGAAAUCCCAGAGCUUAACUCUGGAAUUGCCUUUGAAACUGUAUGACUAGAGUUCAGGAGGGGAUAGGGGAAUUGUUAAUGUAGAGGUGAAAUUCGUAGAUAUUAACAGGAACACCAGUGGCGAAGGCGCCUAUCUGGACUGACACUGACGCUGAGGCGCGAAAGCGUGGGGAGCAAA
rnacentral:rRNA from 1 species